UGAGGGACGACCGCGACCGCCGCUGGGAUGGGAGAGUUCUGUUUUCUUUAUCAGAAGGUGUUUUUCUACAUUUGUUGAACUAAUCUCGACCGCGACCGCCGCUGGGAUGCCCACAACAUAGCAGAAGCUCAAAUGGCACAUUCAUCAACUGGAAAAGGCCAAGAAAAAUUCAUCCCCGGUCAAGCUUAAUCAUGGCGACAUUAUAUCAUUAUCAUCACCUCCUCAUGACGACAAUUCCUUUGUAUUUAUCUACCGGGAAAUGCAAUCAGUCGUGUAGAGAAUGGGGCUCCCAUUCUUAAAAGGAAGUCAGUGGAGGGUGGUUCUGGAAGUAAGAGGUUAAAGGGUCUUGGUAUUGGUUCUCCUGAUGGUCCUGUUUCACUAGAUGAUGUCCGAAGACUAGAAAAAUCUAAUGUUGAUCUCAGGGAACAACUUGAGGCACAUGUUGUGACAAUUGAGACUUUGAGGGCUGAAAUAAAAACAGCCCAAGUGCAGCAUGGAAAGGUCAUAUAUUACUUCCAUGUCCCUCCCCCGUUUUUUUGCAUGAUGUGUUUUUUUUUGCUUUUGUCUCGGUGUUAUAUCUCUCCUACCAUAAAUAAUUUUGCCUCUUGUAUUUCAUGGCCCAAUGUCACUUCUAAAUUCUAAUAUUAGUCUACUUGAUUAUGAUGUUUCACAAUGUCGAUUAUGGACUAGAGAUUGCAGGAAGUUGGGAAAUAUAUCACCUUAGACAAAUUUGAUAAAACGGCUCGCCCAUUUGCAAUACUAGCUGAAGAUUUUCCUCCAACUGCUCCUCAACCCUUGCAUGUUCGCUUCUGCAAAGAUAUUGAAUUACAAGGAGGAAA